CUCUCUUACGUUGCUAUGUUCGAUCACAUAGUACGUAAGUUCUGCCCCCUGUUCGUGAGCGUUGCAUGCUGGGAGCGGCUGUUGUGUGACCCAGAAACGCUGACACUACCUGUCUGGAUCCACGUGCUACGUUCUGGUCCGGUAGGGCUCUCCGUGGAGCUUUGGGGUUCUGCUAUGCCGAGUUGACCCCCCCCCCUGCGGUGAGCAUUAGGCAUGGUGUGGCAGGCAUCCGAGUCAGCUAGGAACACUAACCGAAGCCCUGCCAUUUCUCGCUGAUUGGCGCGCUUGCCAAGGCUCAGGCUGCUGGCAGACCGGUUUCCUCCCUCCUCGUCCUGCCAGCUAAGGUGGCAUCAGCUAAUCAGCAGGUGGGCAGUGUGAGAUGGGACGAACGUCAAAGGAUAAGCGGGAUGUCUACUAUCGCCUGGCCAAGGAGAAUGGCUGGCGGGCCCGCAGCGCCUUCAAACUGCUACAGCUCGACGAGGAAUUCCACCUCUUCCAAGGUGUGACCCGGGCGGUUGACCUGUGUGCAGCUCCAGGCAGCUGGAGCCAGGUGCUGAGUCAGAAGAUUGGGGGCCAGGGGCCUGGCCAUGUGGUAGCUGUGGAUUUGCAGGCUAUGGCUCCCCUACCAGGUGUGAUACAGAUUCAAGGAGACAUCACCCAGCUUUCCACUGCCAAGGAAAUCAUCCAGCACUUUGAGGGCUGCCAUGCAGACCUAGUGGUGUGUGACGGGGCUCCCGAUGUCACUGGCCUCCAUGAUGUUGAUGAGUACAUGCAGGCCCAGCUCCUCCUAGCCGCUCUGAACAUUGCUACUCACGUCUUGAAGCCAGGGGGUUGCUUUGUGGCCAAGAUAUUCCGAGGCCGGGAUGUGACUCUGCUCUACAGCCAACUACGUGUCUUCUUCUCCAGUGUGCUUUGCGCUAAGCCUAGGAGCAGCCGGAACUCCAGCAUCGAGGCCUUUGCUGUCUGUCGGGGUUAUGACCCUCCUGAGGGCUUCGUUGCAGACCUGACCAAGCCUCUGCUGGACCACUCAUACGAUUUCAACCAACUGGAUGGCCCCACCCGCAUUAUUGUGCCUUUUGUGACCUGUGGGGACCUGAGCGCCUAUGAUUCAGACCGCAGUUACCCACUGGACUUACAAGAUGGCUCCGAGUACAAGUAUACUCCACCCACACAGCCCCCCAUCUCACCUCCAUACCAGGAGGCCUGUACAUUGAAGAAGAAGGGGCAGCUGGCCAAGGAGACCCGUCCUCAGGACUGCCCCAUCAGCAGAGUGGAUGUACCAUCUCAACCACUGACCUCCCCUUAACACCACACCCUGCUGGCCCCUGAGGUAAAACACAACAAACCGAACUGUACACCUUAACACAUUAAGUUAACUGGCAAGCUGACAACUCAGAAACUGCUGCCUUUCAAGAAAAACAGCUUGAGUUGAUGAACUUGUCCUCAGAUAUCAGCAGGCCUACACAGACAAGCCAUGAAUGGGAUUCUGCAACAUGCCCAUGUCUCAGUCACUUUCUCAUCAUUAGGAAAUGGUGCCCAACACCUACGACUUAAAGAAGGAGGUUUACUUUGGCUCACAUUUUUUUAUUCCAUAGUUGACUGGCUCCAGGGAAGAAAGGGAUGAGAAUGGCGUGGGUGAUUAUGUUUGUAACAUUUCCAGCAUUGCUGAAAUGUUCAAGUGCAAAAUUUCCUCUGAGACUCAAAGCAACUUGUAGCUAUGAGCAAAAGAAAGUUAACAUACAAUACCACAAGAUGAAUAUUUCAAAAGGGAGGAAUAGGAAGAGAAAAAGGAACUGAACCAAAACAAGACUGAAACCCAGCACUAAGUGCUAUAGCUCCAUGUUCAAUACUUGGGCCAAGUUAUGGCAAGAUGUAAACUCCAAAUUGCUUGAGUGGCCCUACCCCUGUGGCUUUGCCAUUUGAACCCCAAUGGCUUCUCUCUGGAGGUAGUUUUGCUUACUGCCUGUAGCAUUCCUCAGUUGAUGUUCCAUUGUUCCUGGCAUCUGUAACUUCCUGGAGUCUAUUGCACCUCCAGUUUCACUCUCAGUUUCAUGCACUGACCUCCCAGGUCUUCUGAACUCCGGGUGGAAGCUUUCUAGACCUCAUAAGUCUUAUAGUAUAUUUGCCUGUAAAACAAGCACUAUGUAGAUGAUGCCAAGGUCUCCCACCAGCUCGCACAGUAGCUGGGCCCUUUAUAUCAUUGUUGCAAAAGCCUCAAUGGCUGAGCACUGUGAACUAAACCCUAGGGAACCAAUUCCCUAGGUAGCCCUUCUCCCGCAUGGUGCCCUGAGGUUCUCUUCUCCAACACAUUUUAGCCUCAGAGGGGUGGGGUUUUGCAGAUUUCUGUGGUGCCUUCAAGGCAUCUUUCCUAUUGUCCUAAUGUAAAGUAUUUGGCUUCUUUAUAAUGUUAAUCUUUUUAGCAACCAAGCUUUCCUUGUCCAAAACUUUACAGGCCUCAACUUUACAAGAGCUUCCUUUUUGGUGAAACUUAAAACAUUUAAAGUCACUGGGAUGUUCCAUUUGCUCUUGAUUCUCAGUAUAUAUCUGGGUAAAGGCUGCCAACAAUACCUAUGCCUCAGGCUCAACAUUGGUCUGCUUUGAAAUUCUCUCCCCGUAAUUUAGUAAUCCAAUAUCUUUUAUUUCACUGCCCCACUAAGUCUCAGGAUAUGAACAGAAUGUAGACAAAAAUUCUACCAGAGUGUAAAGCACAUGGCCUGGAGCCCAAUUGCCAAUAGAAUUCUUGUUCCCAACUAAAAUCUCCUGAGCUUGGUCUUGAUGGCUUCUGCCUUUCACCAUUCUGGCUUAUGAACUCUGACCACAAUCUCCCUUGAAGCUUGGCUUACAAUACUUGGGCUUUUCUAGCUACGUCUCCAAACCUUUUCAAAUACCCCUUCCCUCAAGAACCAGUUACAAAGGCUUCUAAGUCACAUGGCCAGGUAGCAUCACAGCAGUAUCCCACUUGUACCAAAAUCUGCCUUAGUCACUUCUUGUUCCUGGAAUUCAAUGCUUGACAUUAGAGGUUUGCCUAUAGUUAUAUGGCUCCAGGGCAGAAAUGGCUUUGCUGAAGGGCCUGUUACUGAAAAAGGCUGCCUACCUGUUGGCAGCCAUGGAAGGAGAUGCACUCUUUGGGUCACAUUCCCAAUGACCUUCCUCUUCUGACCAGACCUCAUAUCCUAAUAGCAAGUCAGCUAUAGUGCCAUCCAUCGUAGUUCAUAACUUACCAAACACAUGAGGCUUUGAGGGCCAUUUUAGAUCUAAACUGUAGUACUACAUGAGGAGAACAAGGAAGGAAAUAACACAGAAGUCUGUUGUGCUGUGGUGAAAUUUUCUUGAGCUGUGCAAGGUCUUACCUCAUAAAGCUAUAUAUUCUGACUCUAUGAUUUCCCCAUAAAGUAGGUCCUUCACCUGAUAGAUGUCAGGGGUAACCAUGAACUUGAAGAAAACAUUUCACCUUUAUUUUCACUGAUAUAACUAAAAUUUAGCUUUAUUCCCAGACAUUGGAUUUAAAAAAUCAGAAGCAGUAUACAAUUUUCUACUAUGGCAAGACACUUUAUAUUAUAAGACUGUUACAGGCAUGUUGAAAUAUUCAUUCCCCAACAAUUUGGGUGAUCUUCUAAUUUGAUGUUCUAAUUUUAAAACCCCUUUAGCCAGGCAUGGUGGUGCAUGGUUGUAAUCCCAGCAUUCUGGAAGCUAAGGCAAGAUUACAGCAAAUUCAAGGAAGCCUAGGCUUUACAUGGUGAGUUCAAGGCCAGCCUGUACUACAUAGCAAGGUCAUGUCACAAAUAUUUAAAAAUAAAUAAAAAGCCCCUUUAUUACUGCAUUCCAAUUUUCUGUAAUAUAUAAUAAUAAUUAUAUAUUACAACUAGUUUUUAUUGUAGUCCUCUGUGUGUGCGCAUGCGUGCCCACCCAUACGUACUUUAAAAAUAUUGAGUGAUGGGCUAGCAAUGUGCAAACAUCUGGAUACCCAGACUCGGGCACAUGUGUGCACUUUUUCACUCACACUUGCACAUUCAUGGGCAGCCCCUUAUAAACCAGAUAGGCUUUAGGGUUCUGCUAGACCACAUCCGGUUUGGGUCACAAGAGCUGGAAAUCAUUCUAUCCACUGAAAAAUUUUCUCAAGUCUUCCAGUGUAUGAGACUGCGCUAGUCAAUGGCUGUUUCUCCAGCUUAGGACUUGUGCAUCUUUCUGGCUAUGUCGGCUUUCUACUUCAUCUCUAGACUUCCUUUACCUUUGAAGAGCUGGAUGUUGAGGGGAGAUUCAAGCUCAAGUAGCACCUUUGGGAACUGGGCCACUUUGAAACUGUAGAGACAGAAAUUACCCAGUGCAAGGCUGAUAAUUGCCAUCCACAAAAAUGCAAAUGAAAUUAGGCCUGUCCUGGUAAUAUUGUUACUGUGGAUGCUGAGGCAGAAGGAUCCUUUGAGCUAAGGGGUUCAGGGCCACCGUGGGCAACAUAUCAAGGCCCAGUCUUUAAAAAGUUCAAACUGCAAAUGAAUUUUGUCCUAUAGAACACUUAACUGAUUCCUACCUUGUACUAAAAGAUGAUUCCACCAAAUAUUAAUAUAGCAAGUUUAUUUCAAUAUCCCUGGUUGCCUGUGUAUGUCUGAUUUUUUCCCCACCAAAUGCAGUCACAUUGAUUUUCUUUUUUAAAAAAGCAAACAACAGGGGCCUGGGGAUUUAGCUCAGCGGCAUAAGCACCUGCCUUGCAAGCAGGCAGUUGUGAGUUCGAUCCCCGGUAUUGAUAAAAAGGAAAAAGACAAAAAAAAAAGAAGCUGGUUAUGGUGGCUAAUGCCUACAAUCCCCUGAGCAUAAGCACCUGCCUUGCAAGCAGGCAGUUGUGAGUUCGAUCCCCAGUAUCGAUAAAAAGGAAAAAGACAAAAAAAAAAAAGCUGGUUAUGGUGGCUAAUGCCUACAAUCCCAGCAUUUGGGAAACCAAGAUAGGAAGAUCACAUUAGUUAAAGGCCAGCCUAGAUGACGUAGUGAGUAUAAGGCCAUGAUCUGAAUAGCAAGGCCCUAUCUCAUAAAUAUAUAAAUAAAUAGAAAAGGCAAAUGACAAAACCUAGUUUGCCAGCUUUUUAAAAACCUAAGCUCAACAUUACAUAUUUGAACAGUUGUCUAAAUCUUACUAAAUUGUCAGCAUCCAUGCACAUCCUGAAAACAUCUUUAAACUUAAACCAGAACUAUAUUACCAUUAAUGCAUUAAUAUCUUUCAUUUCUGAAUGCUGAAGAAAUGGAGAUUAUAUCUGUGUAGGACUCUUCCUGGCAAUGUUAGUUUCACAGUCGGCAGACAUUACUUGGUUCACGUCUCAGACACAAUGAGAACAGAUGCAUACUGCUGUUUAGUGCUACUCCAGAGCCAAGACUUACCCUGAAUUACAUUUAAUAAAAACCUAAGUGCAUACAGAAAUUACAACAAUGUUAAAGACUGGCAGCUGUUCACUCUUUCCCUACUUUUACUUGACCCAAAUCUGCUCUUUGGAACCUGUUUUUUGUUUUCCUACCUGUAAUAAAACUUUGCUAUUGUUAAAAAAAAUUGGUUUUUUGAGACAGGGUGUGACUAUAUAGUUCAGCCUUGAACUCACUAUGUACCCCAGGCUGGUCUCGAACUCAUGGCAAUUCUUGUGCCUCAACACCUGACAAAAAACAGACAAAAGCAAACAACCACCACAUGCACAAUUUUAAAGGCUAAAAUGGUCCCAAGAGAUAUUGGGAAAUGGGAAUAAAAUGUUCAAAUGAGAAGGGGAACAGGGAAAGUGGAGGCAUAAAGGAAAAAAGAGAAGAAAAAAGAAUAGAAAGAGAGCUGAGUGUAGUGGUGCAUGCCUGUAAUCUUAGCAUUAGGGAGGCUAACGCAAGAAGAUUGUUUCAAGUUUGAGACCAGCCUAGGCUACAAGGUGAGCUCAGAGCCAGCCUGAAUUGCAUAGCAAGACCCUGUCUCAAAAAGAACCCCCCCCCCAAAAGAGAAUAGACAGGAAAAUAGAAAGAAAACUUUUGUAAAUAAGGAGAUGAAGAGAGGGUAGAAAAUAGGAACAAAAGAAAAGACAUAUUAUGUACAUGUAUAAAUUCUCUAUAAUGAAUGUGAUCAUGCAUAUCUAAAAUGUAUCAAUAAAAUUUUAAAAACUCAAAGACUAAAAUAGUCCUAGAGUGUGGUCUUAACAAUAAACUCAAACAUCUGUGACA